CUAGCUGUAAACGAUGGAUACUAGGCGUUGAGAGUAUCGACCCUCUCAGUGUCGUAGCUAACGCGUUAAGUAUCCCGCCUGGGGAGUACGCGCGCAAGCGUGAGACUCAAAGGAAUUGACGGGGGCCCGCACAAGCGGUGGAGUAUGUGGUUUAAUUCGAUGCAACGCGAAGAACCUUACCAGGGCUUGACAUGUCCGGAACCCUGCCCAAAGGCGGGGGUGCCUACGGGAACCGGAACACAGGUGGUGC
rnacentral:rRNA from 1 species